UCAUAAAGGAACAGAUGAACACUGUAUUUGAGCUUUGCCUGCUUUUGGGGCAGGAAGUUUAUUAGAGGGUAGGAUCCAGAGUUUUAUUUUACUGGCUCUCCCAAAGGGAAGUUGGGGGGAAAUAUGAAUUAGAGAGAACCGAUAUUUAGUUUAUUUCAUUCAAUCCUCAGAGUAUCUGCGCGGUGUUUUCGAUGAUUCCCCCUUUCUGGAGAAAGCAACUGAGGUUCAGGGGGACAGUGAUAAUGGAGUCCCAGCCUCCGCUUGCUUCCCUUAGCAACCCCAGCAGGAAUGUGUGUUUGAAAAGCAGGAGAACGUGUGGAACAAUACACGGCAUUUUUGUGACAUUCAUGACAGUGCCCUGAACAGCCUUCAGAAGCCGUUUGUCCACAUUAGUCAAGUCUACACCUAUUUUUGGAAACAGGAAAGUAUCCAGAAUUGUCAGCCAUUAUUUGACACCAAGGAUCUUCUGACCUUUAAAGACUGGAGUAUUAGAAAACCAGUUAUUUGCAUUAAAAAAAUUGUAAUCACUUUCCCCUUCUGUGUAGCAAUAUGGUAUGCAUGUAAUUUCAAAUUCCAAAUUACAUUUGUCCAUGUGGGGCACGGCGUUUGAGACAGGGCAAGGAAGUCUCAGCUGCAUCAUUCUCCUUUAAAAACAGAGCACCAACACCUUAACCUUGUUUUUCUUAAAUUUAACUCCUAGCAGGGAAGCUUUUUAUUAUUUCAGAUGGAAUGACGUUGACUACUGCAAGGAAGAAAAGAACCCCUUAUAUUUUGAUGGAUGCUGCUUUCUGUUAUCCAAGGCUGUUUUACUAGGAGCGGGGGCCAGUGGGGUCAGCGGAGAGCAUCGCGGCUGCGCGGUCCCAGCACUUUCGGGCGGGCUGGAGGGACACGCGGAGGAGCUGGCUGCCGCCGCAGGGAGGAAACUGGGAGGAGGGCACCCAGCCCGCGGGCGCUGCAUCCCAUCCCAAAGCUGGCCUGCUCCUGUCCUCACCUCUCCGGGAAAGCAGACCCUUUCCAGAAGCCAGUCAGCCUCAGGAGUCCGCGGCUACAGUGGGCCGAGGGUGGCAGGAACGCCCCUCCCCGCGGAAAGCCAGAAAGGGGCUCCGCGCAGCAGCCUGAGCCCGCGCGCACGCGGGACUCGCACUCGGGUCCCCAGACCCUUGCCCUGGCC
rnacentral:lncRNA from 1 species